AAACAGUGUACUGUGGACUGUGC
rnacentral:siRNA from 1 species